ensembl:lncRNA
GAAGUCAACAAAUGAUAGUGCCUGGGGAAUAGGAGUGGAACUUGGGGCUACAGGGCCUGGGUUAACCUCUACAUCACCAGAUGAAAAGAGGAGGAGUAGGAUAAGUGUACGGCUGAAGGCUAUAAGAACUGGUCGUCUAGUGCGUUGGGGAUAGAGAUGUCACGAAUAUCACCGAAGGUGGCUCCCCUUCCCAUUCGGGUGGCGCUCGGCGGUCAUCGUCGCCGGGCUACUAGCUGUCACCGAUCCUUUUUCCCUUUUCGUUUGGUUUUGUCUAAUUGUUUUCACCUGUUCCUUGUUGGGGUUUUUGGGUUGGUGUUAUUUAAGUUUGAUUAGCCCCCUUGUGUUUGUGUGGGCUUGUUUCUGUUAUGUAAAGGUGUUCGUUAUAUUGUGGGUUUUCCGCUGUCCGGUUUGAUACUUGUUUUUAAUUUGUUUUUACACUACUGCUACUCGCUGUUUAUUAUCUAUGCAUAGCCACUUUACCUCUACCUGUAUGUACAAAUUACCUCAACUAACCUUUCUCUCUCUGCACAUUUACACAGUAACGGAACCCCCUGUAUAUAGCCUCAUUGUUGUUAUUUUAUUGUGUUACUUUUUGUUAUUUUUUUACUUUAGUUUGGUAAAUAUUUUCUUAACUCUUUUUGAAUUGCAUUGUUGGUUAAGGGUCUGUAAGUAAGCAUUUCACUGUUGUAUUCAGCGCACACUUUUUUGAAAACAAUGUGAAAGUGAAACAGAAAUAGUUUGCAUUCCAGGCAAAGUCAUGCAUACAGAUGAGCAACACAAAGAAAAGAGUACUUGAUGCAGCAACGUGCAUGAUUAGUUGAUUGAUUGAUUGAUUUCUUUAUUCCAGUGUAUUUCACACACACAUUCCCACUAUCCUUAUUUGACAACAAUCUUGUUUUUUUGCAGUGUAGAAUUUACUCAUGCAGCUGAUUGAUUAAAUGGAGCAAUGCAUUGUCACCACUGCUGUAUUCUAAUAAAGUUGAUCCAGGUGACACCAUGUGGACAAUAAAGGACAAUGACCCAACACACUUCCAGGCUGUGUAAGGGCUAUUUGACCAAGAAAGAGAGUGAUGGAGUGCUGCAUCAGAUGACCUAGCCUCCACAAUCACUCGACCUUAACCCAAAUGAGAUGGUUUGGGAUGAGUUGGAGUGAAGUGAUGUGUUGGAGUGAAGGAAAAGCAGCCAACAAGUGCUCAGCAUAUGUGGAAACUCCUUCAAGACUUUUGGAAAGGCAUUCCAAGUGAAGCUGGUUGAGAGAAUGCUAAGAGUGUGCAAAGCUGUCAUCAAGGGUGGCUACUUUGAAGAAUCUAAAAU